GAUGAACGCUGGCGGCGUGCCUAACACAUGCAAGUCGAGCGAACAGACGAGGCUUGUGCUUCGCUGCCGCUAGGGGCGGGUGGGUGAGGCACAGGAGUAUACCCGACAUAUAAGAAUGGGAUCAGGUAGGGAAAGCGGAUCUAACAUACGAUAAGAGGGUGAAACGGAGGGUUCUUCGGAGAAAAACGUACUUGAUGUCACUAGUAGGGAGUUCCUGGCUGGAUUAGCUAGUUGGUAGGGUAACGGCUUACCAAGGCUACGAUGCGUAGCCGAUCUGAGAGGAUGAUCGGCCACACUGGAACUGAGACACGGUCCAGACUCCUACGGGAGGCAGCAGUAGGGAAUCUUGGGCAAUGGGCGAAAGCCUGACGGAGCAACGCCGCGUGAGUGAAGAAGGUCUUCGGAUCGUAAAGCUCUGUUAUUAGGGAAGAACAGCUGUAUAAGUAUCUCUGGCCGUCUUGACGUUACCUAAUCAAUAAGCCCCGGCUAACUACGUG
rnacentral:rRNA from 1 species